rnacentral:ncRNA from 1 species
UACGAUAAAGGCAAACCCUGAGCGAUCAGGGGACGCAAAGUAAAGGGUCUUUAACAUACAAGGAUGUAGUUAAAGGGACGCCUUGCCAGGAAAAAAAGACAGCCUUACUGCCGAAG